rnacentral:tRNA from 1 species
GCCCAGGUGGCGGAAUUGGCAGACGCGCUGGCUUCAGGUGCUAGUGAUCCUAGGAUCGUGAAGGUUCGAAUCCUUUUCUGGGCACCA